rnacentral:rRNA from 1 species
GACGAACGCUGGCGGCGUGCCUAACACAUGCAAGUCGAACGGAGAUAGGUUUGAGGUUUACCGAAGACUUAUCUUAGUGGCGGACGGGCGAGUAACGCGUGAGCAACCUGCCCCAGACUGGGGGAUAACGUCGGGAAACCGGCGCUAAUACCGCAUAACACUAUGAAGCCGCAUGGUUUUAUAGUCAAAGCUCCGGCGGUUUGGGAUGGGCUCGCGUCCAAUUAGCUAGUUGGUGAGGUAACGGCUCACCAAGGCAACGAUUGGUAGCCGAACUGAGAGGUUGAUCGGCCGCAUUGGGACUGAGACACGGCCCAGACUCCUACGGGAGGCAGCAGUGGGGAAUAUUGCGCAAUGGAGGGAACUCUGACGCAGCAACGCCGCGUGAAGGAAGAAGGCCUUCGGGUUGUAAACGUUCUUUGAUCGGGACGAAGAUGAGGUACCCGAGGACAAGCCACGGCUAACUACGUG